AUCGAUGAAGAACGCAGCGAAAUGCGAUAAGUAAUGUGAAUUGCAGAAUUCAGUGAAUCAUCGAAUCUUUGAACGCACCUUGCGCUCCUUGGUAUUCCGAGGAGCAUGCCUGUUUGAGUGUCAUUAAAUUCUCAACCUCACCAGUUUUCUGAACUGUUCUUCGAGGCUUGGAUGUGGGGGUUUGUGCAGGCUGCCUCACGGCGGUCUGCUCCCCUGAAAUGCAUUAGCGAGUUCAUACUGAACUUCCGUCUAUUGGUGUGAUAAUUAUCUACGCCGUGGACGAGGUUCAGACUCGCUUCUAACCGUCCGCAAGGACAAUACCUUGACAAUUUGACCUCAAAUCAGGUAGGACUACCCGCUGAACUUAAGCAUAUCAAUAAGCGGAGGAAAAGAAACUAACAAGGAUUCCCCUAGUAACUGCGAGUGAAGCGGGAAAAGCUCAAAUUUAAAAUCUGGCGGUCUUUGGCCGUCCGAGUUGUAAUCUAGAGAAGUGUUACCCGCGUCGGACCGUGUACAAGUCUCCUGGAAUGGAGCGUCAUAGAGGGUGAGAAUCCCGUCUUUGACACGGACUACCGAGGCUUUGUGGUGCGCUCUCAAAGAGUCGAGUUGUUUGGGAAUGCAGCUCAAAAUGGGUGGUAAAUUCCAUCUAAAGCUAAAUAUUGGCGAGAGACCGAUAGCGAACAAGUACCGUGAGGGAAAGAUGAAAAGAACUUUGGAAAGAGAGUUAAACAGUACGUGAAAUUGCUGAAAGGGAAACGCUUGAAGUCAGUCGCGUUGUCCGGGAAUCAGCCUUCCUUCUGGUUGGUGUACUUCCUGGUUGACGGGCCAGCAUCAGUUUUGACCGGUGGAAAAAGUUCGAGGGAAUGUGGCACCUCCGGGUGUGUUAUAGCCCUCGUUCGUAUACAUCGGUUGGGACUGAGGAACUCAGCACGCCGCAAGGCCGGGAUUCGUCCACGUUCGUGCUUAGGAUGCUGGCAUAAUGGCUUUAAUCGACCCGUCUUGAAACACGG
rnacentral:rRNA from 1 species